rnacentral:tRNA from 1 species
AGCUCCGUGGUGUACCACAUAUUGGAUUGCAAAUCCGAAGACGCAGAUUAAUAGUCUGCCGGGGCUU